GCCACAAGCCAAGGAAGGCCUGGAGCCACCAGCUGCUGGAAGGGGCAGGAAGGAUGCUCCCCUAGAGCCUGCAGAGGGAACGAGGCCCUGAAGACACCUUGAUUUUAGACUUCUGGCCUCCAGAACUGGGAGAGGAUAAAGGUCUAUUGUCUUAGCCACUCGGCUUGUGGUCAUGUCACAGAAGCUCUAGGAAAUUAAUCCACCUAGUAAGAGGGGCUUCAAGGACACCACUCAGAACCUGAAGUCGACCUGGAGCCCUUUGAAAUUCUGCCCAAGAAGGGGAGACUACCUGGAGGAGGAGGCUGAUCCCAAUACAAGCUUGCAGGAGCAGGCCUGAGCUGAGAGAGGACAGAUUUAACGCUGAAUAAACUGUUACUGCUCCA